CCGCCGAAGAUGGGUGGCGGCAUUAAGUAUUGAUGUUUUUGAGAUCCGGCAACCACUUAAAAUCAGAUUGGCUUUGAGCUCGUCCACCCAUUGAAGCA